rnacentral:rRNA from 1 species
CGCGUAGGCGGAUAUUACAGUCAGGCGUGAAAUUCCUGGGCUCAACCUGGGGGCUGCGUUUGAUACGUGAUGUCUGGAGUUCGGAAGAGGGUCGUGGAAUUCCCAGUGUAGAGGUGAAAUUCGUAGAUAUUGGGAAGAACACCGGUGGCGAAGGCGGCGACCUGGUCCGAUACUGACGCUGAGGCGCGAAAGCGUGGGGAGCAAACAGGAUUAGAUACCCUGGUAGUCCACGCUGUAAACGAUGCGCGCUGGAUGUUGGGUGACAUAGUCAUUCAGUGUCGUAGCUAACGCGAUAAGCGCACCGCCUGGGGAGUACGGCCGCAAGGUUGAA